UACGUAGGGUGCAAGCGUUGUCCGGAAUUAUUGGGCGUAAAGAGCUUGUAGGUGGUUUGUCGCGUCUGCUGUGAAAAUCCGAGGCUCAACCUCGGACUUGCAGUGGGUACGGGCAGACUAGAGUGUGGUAGGGGAGACUGGAAUUCCUGGUGUAGCGGUGGAAUGCGCAGAUAUCAGGAGGAACACCGAUGGCGAAGGCAGCACUCUGGGACGUGACUGACGCUGAGACGCGAAAGCGUGGGGAGCAAACAGG
rnacentral:rRNA from 1 species